rnacentral:rRNA from 1 species
UGGGGAAUAUUGCGCAAUGGGGGAAACCCUGACGCAGCGACGCCGCGUGUGGGAUGAAGGUCUUCGGAUUGUAAACCACUGUCGCGAGGGACGAAGCUCUGACGGUACCUCGAAAGGAAGCACCGGCUAACUCUGUGCCAGCAGCCGCGGUAAUACAGAGGGUGCGAGCGUUGUCCGGAAUUACUGGGCGUAAAGCGCGUGUAGGUGGUCGAGUAAGUCGAAUGUGAAAGCCCCGGGCUCAACCCGGGAAGUGCAUCCGAAACUGCUCGACUAGAGUCCCGGAGAGGAAGGCAGAAUUCCCAAUGUAGGGGUGAAAUCCGUAGAUAUUGGGAGGAAUACCGGUGGCGAAGGCGGCCUUCUGGACGGUGACUGACACUCAGACGCGAAAGCGUGGGGAGCAAACAGGAUUAGAUACCCAAGUAGUCCCUGAGCGGGCUGGCAAGGCGCAU